UUAUCGGAAUGAGAACAAUUCAAAUCCUUUAACGAGGAUCUAGCGGAGGGCAAGUCUGGUGCCAGCAGCCGCGGUAAUUCCAGCUCCGCAGGUGUAUAUCUAUGCUGCUGCGGUUAAAAAGCUCGUAGUUGGAUCUGCGUGCUCGGAACUGGUUGGCUCACUGAGUUCAAACUGGUCUCCGGCGCUUUAUUGGCUGGUUUUCCCUUGAUGCUCUUAACCGGGUGUCUUGGGUGGCUAGCACGUUUGCUUUGAAAAAAUUAGAGUGCUCAAUACAGGCGUAAAGCCUUGAAUAGUGGUGCAUGGAAUAAUAGAAUAGGACCUCGGCUCUAUUUUGUUGGUUUUCGGAACGCGAGGUAAUGAUUAAGAGGGACAGACGGGGGCAUUCGUAUUGCGACGUUAGAGGUGAAAUUCUUGGAUCGUCGCAAGACGGACGACUGCGAAAGCAUUUGCCAAGAAUGUUCUCAUUAAUCAAGAACGAAAGUUAGAGGUUCGAAGGCGAUCAGAUACCGCCCUAGUUCUAACCGUAAACGAUGCCAACUAGCGAUUCGCAGGCGUUAAACAACGACCUUGCGGGCAGCUUCCCGGAAACGAAAGUGUUCGGGUUCCGGGGGAAGUAUGGUUGCAAAGCUGAAACUUAAAGGAAUUGACGGAAGGGCACCACCAGGAGUGGAGCCUGCGGCUUAAUUUGACCCAACACGGGAAAACUCACCCGGCCCGGACACCGUAAGGAUUGACAGAUUGAGAGCUCUUUCUUGAUUCGGUGGGUGGUGGUGCAUGGCCGUUCUUAGUUGGUGGAGCGAUUUGUCUGGUUUAUUCCGAUAACGAACGAGACUCUGGCCUACUAAAUAGUGGGCGGAUUCUUUCUGUCCGCAACACUUCUUAGAGGGACAAGCGGUGUUCAGCCGCACGAGAUUGAGCAAUAACAGGUCUGUGAUGUCCUUAGAUGUCCGGGGCUGCACGCGCGCUACACUGAAGGAAUCAGCGUGCUUUCUGACCUUGCCCGAAAGGGCUGGGUAACCCGAUGAAAAUCCUUCGUGAUUGGGAUAGGGACUUGCAAUUAUUUCCCUUGAACGAGGAAUUCCCAGUAAGUGUGGGUCAUAAGCUCGCGUUGAUUACGUCCCUGCCCUUUGUACACACCGCCCGUCGCUGCCCGGAACUGAGCCGUUUCGAGAAGAACAGGGACCGUCGUUGAAGGGCCUUAACGGGCUUUUCUCUGAUAGAAACUGUU
rnacentral:rRNA from 1 species